CCUACCCUAUACAGGAGGAUUAGCCUAGGGUAAACCUGGAUUAACCCUUCAUAGUAUUAUUGGAUGGCAUCAUUUGAUAGUUAAAACUGAGGUGGUAUAGGAUGGGCAUGCGUCUGAUUAGUUAGUUGGCGGGGUAAUGGCCCACCAAGACGAUGAUCAGUAGGGGUUCUGAGAGGAAGAUCCCCCACACUGGCACUGAGAUACGGGCCAGACUCCUACGGGAGGCAGCAGUAGGGAAUAUUGGUCAAUGGAUGCAAGUCUGAACCAGCCAUGCCGCGUGCAGGAAGAAGGCCUUCUGGGUUGUAAACUGCUUUUGCCAGGGGAUAAAAUUUCCAUGCGUGGAAAACUGAAGGUACCUGGUGAAUAAGCCACGGCUAACUACGUG
rnacentral:rRNA from 1 species